CUCCAUCACACUGAAUGACUUUGCAUUUGCUUAUACUAUUAAAGUAAUACAUUGUCUACAGUACAUUCUUUGAAUUAUGCAAGACAAGAACGAAAAAAACACUGGGGUAUUUCAUUUUUAAACCACUACACGCAUAGAAAACGCAAGGUAUUUUCCUCUCUGUUCACAAGAACAAAAACCCAAUGAGAGAAAAAAAAACGCACGCCUAAA